CCAGACUCCUACGGGAGGCAGCAGUGGGGAAUAUUGGACAAUGGGGGCAACCCUGAUCCAGCAAUUCUGUGUGCACGAAGAAGGUUUUCGGAUUGUAAAGUGCUUUCAGCAGGGAAGAAGAAAGUGACGGUACCUGCAGAAGAAGCGACGGCUAAAUACGUGCCAGCAGCCGCGGUAAUACGUAUGUCGCAAGCGUUAUCCGGAAUUAUUGGGCAUAAAGGGCAUCUAGGCGGCCCUGUAAGUCUAGGGUGAAAACCUGCGGCUCAACCGCAGGCCUGCCCCGGAAACUACAGGGCUAGAGUAUCGGAGAGGUGGACGGAACUGCACGAGUAGAGGUGAAAUUCGUAGAUAUGUGCAGGAAUGCCGAUGAUGAAGAUAGUUCACUGGACGGUAACUGACGCUGAAGUGCGAAAGCUAGGGGAGCAAACAGGAUUAGAUACCCUGGUAGUCCUAGCUGUAAACGAUGAUUACUGGGUGUGGGCAUGAAGAGUGUCCGUGCCGAAGCAAAUGCGAUAAGUAAUCCGCCUGGGGAGUACGGCCGCAAGGCUGAAACUCAAAGGAAUUGACGGGGGCCCGCACAAG
rnacentral:rRNA from 1 species